rnacentral:snRNA from 1 species
GGAUGUAAGGGUGAUCUGGCUGCGACAUCUGUACCCCAUUGAUCACCAGGGUUGAUUUGGCUGAUCUGGCUGCCUAGGCGGGUGUUCCCUUCCUCCGUCACCACUCCCUGUGCAUCCCUCCCUAAGCUGUGUGCUCCGUUGAAGAGGAUGACCUUCCCUGGUAGAGGUGUGUACCGUUCAUCAGUUCU